AGUGAACGCUGGCGGUAGGCCUAACACAUGCAAGUCGAACGGCAGCACAGUAAGAGCUUGCUCUUACGGGUGGCGAGUGGCGGACGGGUGAGGAAUACAUCGGAAUCUACUUUUUCGUGGGGGAUAACGUAGGGAAACUUACGCUAAUACCGCAUACUACCUACGGGUGAAAGCAGUGGAUCUUCGGACCUUGCGCGAUUCAAUGAGCCGAUGCCGGAUUAGCUAGUUGGCGAGGUAAAGGCCCACCAAGGCGACGAUCCGUAGCUGGCCUGAGAGGAUGAUCAGCCACACUGGAACUGAGACACGGUCCAGACUCCUACGGGAGGCAGCAGUGGGGAAUAUUGGACAAUGGGCGCAAGCCUGAUCCAGCCAUACCGCGUGAGUGAAGAAGGCCUUCGGGUUGUAAAGCCCUUUUGUUGGGAAAGAAAAGCAGCAGGUUAAUACCCAGCUGUUCUGACGGUACCCAAAGAAUAAGCAACGGCUAACUUCGUG
rnacentral:rRNA from 1 species